rnacentral:rRNA from 1 species
AGCGCAGGCGGUUGGAAUAGUCUGAUGUGAAAGCCCACGGCUUAACCGUGGAAUUGCAUUGGAAACUGUCCAACUUGAAUGCAGAAGAGGAAAGCGGAAUUCCAUGUGUAGCGGUGAAAUGCGUAGAUAUAUGGAGGAACACCAGUGGCGAAGGCGGCUUUCUGGUCUGUGAUUGACGCUGAGGCUCGAAAGCGUGGGGAGCGAACAGGAUUAGAUACCCCCGUA